AGAGUUUGAUCCUGGCUCAGGAUGAACGCUGGCGGCGUGCCUAACACAUGCAAGUCGAACGGAGCGCGGAUGCCGAAUUUUUCGGAAGGAGGCAUGCGCAGCUGAGUGGCGGACGGGUGAGUAACGCGUGGGCAACCUGCCCCGUACCGGGGGAUAACAGCCGGAAACGGCUGCUAAUACCGCAUGAGCGCACAGUGCCGCAUGGCACGGUGUGAAAAACCACGGUGGUACGGGAUGGGCCCGCGUCUGAUCAGCCAGUUGGCGGGGUAACGGCCCACCAAAGCCGCGAUCAGUAGCCGGCCUGAGAGGGCGGACGGCCACAUUGGGACUGAGACACGGCCCAGACUCCUGCGGGAGGCAGCAGUGGGGAAUAUUGCACAAUGGGGGAAACCCUGAUGCAGCGACGCCGCGUGAGCGAGGAAGUAUUUCGGUAUGUAAAGCUCUGUCAGCAGGGAAGAAAGAUGACGGUACCUGACCAAGAAGCACCGGCUAAAUACGUGCCAGCCGCCGCGGUAAUAC
rnacentral:rRNA from 1 species